rnacentral:rRNA from 1 species
CUACGGGUUGCUCCAGUCGAGAAUCUUCUGCAAUGCACGAGAGUGUGACAGAGCGAGCCAGAGUGCUUUUCAAAUGAAAAGCUUUUGUGAAAUUUAAAAGAUCUCACGAAUAAGGACUGGGUAAGACGAGUGCCAGCCGCCGCGGUAAUACUCGCGGUUCAAGUCGCAGCCAUUUUUAUUGGGUCUAAAACAUCCGUAGCUUGCUUAAACAAUUUCUUGUGAAAUUCUAUAUCUUAAGUAUGGGGCGUGCAGGAAAUACUAUUAAGCUAGAGACUGGAAGACGUAACAAGUACGUUUGAAGUAGUGGUAAAAUACUUUAAUCUUAAACGGACUAACAAUAGCGAAGGCAUGUUACGAGUACAGUUCUGACAGUGAGGGAUGAAGGCUAGGGGCGCAAAACGGAUUAGAUACCCUGGUAGUC